UACGGAGGGGGCUAGCGUUGUUCGGAAUCACUGGGCGUAAAGGGCGCGUAGGCGGCCGUUCAAGUCGGGGGUGAAAGCCUGUGGCUCAACCACAGAAUUGCCUUCGAUACUGUUCGGCUCGAGACCGGAAGAGGUUGGUGGAGCUGCGAGUGUAGAGGUGAAAUUCGUAGAUAUUCGCAAGAACACCAGUGGCGAAGGCGGCCAACUGGUCCGGUUCUGACGCUGAGGCGCGAAAGCGUGGGGAGCAAACAGG
rnacentral:rRNA from 1 species